UGGACUUCAUCUUUCCAAUCCUACUUCCUUAUCUGUGAAGUGGGCAAACCAAUCAUUUUUACCCCAGAGAGCUGUGAAGAACCUGUAUCAGUUAUACAGAAAGUUAAAGAACUUAUCGCAGUGCCUGGAAGCCAGGAUGUGGAGCCAGGAGAGAAGGGGCAUUCAAAGGGCCUGGGAGACCCUUGGUGAAAACAAUCAGUUGGUUUCAACAUCCCAGAGAGAUUCUCAAUCAGGAUAAAGCAAAGGCAUCCAUGAAGACUUUGCUUCCUUCUUCUAGUAGCUCACAGAGACCAAAGUUGGCACACAGCACUCUCCUAACACUAAAGACUCUACAACUCCUUCUUCAUGGGAUGUGUGAAAGCACAGAGAGAUGGAGACAUGGCUGCUUGGAAAUUGUCCUUAAAGGAACCACAGGUUGGUACAGAAGUGAAAGUACUAUAAUUUGGAAGAUCUUCAAAAAAACUCUUUUGACAUUGUGGCAUGUAAUUUCCAUACCUUUUUCCUACGUGUAUAUAAAGAAUGUAAUAUCUUCUGUCUUUGAGCAAUUAUAAACCCUCAGGAUGAAAGAGGCAGAGUGAUAGUACAAACAAAUAAAACUUCAUAACAAACAAGCAAACAUAGACCUCUCAUGUGGUUCUUGGGGUUUUCAACAGCUCUGAACUUGCAUUUGCUUCAAGCACUGCCCAGUUCUAAGAGACUGUAAUUGAAUAUACAUUGUUCGAUUUUUGUUUUUUGCACUAGUCCCAUUACAGAGCUAUAAGCAUAGAAAUAGAAUGACCAUGUCCACCCUGUUGAUCAGUCUUUUCUUUCAGCAAAUGAGUACUGUGAUCCCACUAUGGACCAUAUCCUAUAUCAUGGGUGCUGAGAUGAAGGGCAGAGUCCCUGUCCACACAGUACUCUCAGACUAAUGUCAGCACACAGCCCCCACCCCAUCUUGAGUCCCAAAAUUCAGCUGUGAUGUUGCAGACAAGCUGGAGACUUUCAGAUAAGAUAACAAUACAAACAGCAGCAGUAGUAGCAGCUUCUACUUAGGAGGGCUUACUAAUA
rnacentral:lncRNA from 1 species